rnacentral:lncRNA from 1 species
GAGGAAGCAGGGGGUAGGGGGCAAACACCUGAGAAAUCCCUCUUCAAUAGCAGUGAGUCCGCAUGGUUUUGAGUGAGUUGUCAUAUUUGUAAUGAUUCUGAACAGGUCACUCUGCUGUCCUUGUCCCUGCUGUGGGACGGGAGUUCCCUAAAUCUUUUCUUAAAGCUGGGAGAAAAUAGGUUGCCUAGGCCUGGGGUGAUCUGCUGAGAAAACCUUGAUGGGUUGCAGGUGGGAGCAGAUGUCUUCUUUCAUCAGGGCAUCUGCUGGCCCAGGAGCUCCCAAGGUGGUCAGAAGUGCUGAUGGGGAAGUUUGGACGUGAUUCAAGGGGAGCUCAGGGAGUUUCAGUCCAGGGAGAAAUCCAGCGCGAGGCAAGAUGCAAAAGCCAUCAGCGCCCCAGCCGCAGCAGUCUGCAAGGGGCAGGACAGCACCGUGCCAUGUAGCUCUGGGAUGGCUGUAAGCAAAGUUCAACAUCUGCUGAAGGAAUGCGCAGGUAAUUUAAGCACAGGGCUCUGUCCCCAGCUCCUGGCCACCCCAGCAGAGGUAGUCUGCUGGCUA